rnacentral:tmRNA from 1 species
GGGGCUGAUUCUGGAUUCGACGGGAUUUGCGAAACCCAAGGUGCAUGCCGAGGGGCGGUUGGCCUCGUAAAAAGCCGCAAAAAAAUAGUCGCAAACGACGAAACCUACGCUUUAGCAGCUUAAUAACCUGCUUAGAGCCCUCUCUCCCUAGCCUCCGCUCUUAGGACGGGAUCAAGAGAGGUCAAACCCAAAAGAGAUCGCGUGGAUGCCCUGCCUGGGGUUGAAGCGUUAAAACUAAUCAGGCUAGUCUGGUAGUGGCGUGUCCGUCCGCAGGUGCCAGGCCGAAUGUAAAGACUGACUAAGCAUGUAGUACCGAGGAUGUAGGAAUUUCGGACGCGGGUUCAACUCCCGCCAGCUCCACCA